UUUGAUCCAAAAUUGCAAAAAGCUUACCAAAACAAAUAAACAUUCUAUUCAAAUAAAACCUCAAGUCGCCACAUGAAAAUGAUAAGUGAAAUAUUAAUUAUGUUGAAACUUCGAUACAUAAAAUGAUUUCACGUGUAACUCACGCAAUAAGUGGGAGUGGAAUGGAAGAAACACCAACAUCUUGUGGAUUUUAUAGUCCAAAGGUUUUUGAGAACUAUAUGUGGAUAUAUGUUGUGUCCCCGUAAAAAUUCAUGAAUUUUUAGGCUAUUUGGUGUAUUAUUAAUUUCUUGUUGUAGAAAGUCAUCAAAAUACAAUUAAAUUCAUAAAAACAUUGUAGCAUCAACCGGAAAUUGCAAAUAAGUUACCAAUAUUAAUAAAUAGUUUAUAAAAAGAUAAUCCUAAGUUCCCACAUGGAUAUAAUCUUAAGUCCCCACAUGAAAAUGAUAAAGUCUAUUAUUUUGAUAUAAAUUUAGACAUUAUUUCAAUGAUUUUGACCUAAAUAUAUGUUUAAACAAAAAUGUGUUGUACUACAAAGUUAUAGAUCUCUUCGAGCUCUACAAUUUUCAUAUAAACUUUAUCUUCAUCCGAUUUCAUAUGUAAAAGUUAUGAUUUUAUAACUAUAUUAUUAU
rnacentral:lncRNA from 7 species